GAGAAUUCAUCUAUCAUAUUGAGUUCUCUUGUAUGACACAAUAGAUUUGCAUGGUAGACCUUGAAAUGAAGAUAAUAGCUCCAGUUUUUCAAAAUGGAAAGAAAAAUGCCAUAGUUCAAUUUUCUAUGUGCCGGAGUACUCAGCCAUCAUGCUGUAGCAAUUAGAAACAAUUAGUCAACUUUGAACUUUUAUUGUUGAUACUAGUAAAAACACUCUACUAUUAUCACCAAUUAAAAAGACCAAUUUACACAACCAGCCCAUGAAAUUAACUUCUAGCCUAAACUCCUAAACUUUUGCAGGCCCAAAUUUACAAUUAAGGACAAUAUACUUUACAUUAUGGAGGAGCCCAAAAUCAGGCAUCAUGGUGGAGCUUCAACUCUAAAAACUAAUACACAGGCAAGUUUCAUUUGGAGUGAGUACAAAUAUAGCCAUGGAAAACAUGGACCCACACACAA